GGGGAUCGAAAGNCCUUAUGCUUUUGGAGCGGNCUCGAUGUCUGAUUAGCUAGUUGGUAGGGUAAAGGCUUACCAAGGCGACGAUCAGUAGUUGGUCUGAGAGGACGGCCAGCCACACUGGGACUGAGACACGGCCCAGACUCCUMCGGGAGGCAGCAGUGGGGAAUUUUGGACAAUGGGCGCAAGCCUGAUCCAGCAAUGCCGCGUGAGUGAAGAAGGCCUUCGGGUUGUAAAGCUCUUUCAGUUGAGAAGAAAAAGUCGUGACUAAUAAUCAUGAUUCAUGACGGUAUCAACAGAAGAAGCACCGGCUAACUACGUGCCAGCAGCCGCGGUAAUACGUAGGGUGCAAGCGUUAAUCGGAAUUACUGGGCGUAAAGGGNGCGCAGGCGGUUCUGUAAGUCAGAUGUGAAAUCCCCGGGCUUAACCUGGGAACUGCGUUUGAAA
rnacentral:rRNA from 1 species